rnacentral:rRNA from 1 species
AUUGAACGCUGGCGGCAGGCCUAACACAUGCAAGUCGAGCGAGCGGCGGACGGGUGAGUAAUGUCUGGGGAACUGCCCGAUGGAGGGGGAUAACUACUGGAAACGGUAGCUAAUACCGCAUACUAUCGGAUGAACCCAGAUGGGAGUAGCUAGUAGGUGCGGUAAUGGCUCACCUAGGCGACGAUCCCUAGCUGGUCUGAGAGGAUGAUCAGGCACACUGGGACUGAGACACGGUCCAGACGCCUACGGGAGGCAGCAGUGGGGAAUAUUGCACAAUGGGCGCAAGCCUGAUGCAGCCAUGCCGCGUGUGUGAAGAAGGCCUUCGGGUUGUAAAGCACUUUAAGUUGGGAGGCGUUACCGACAGAAGAAGCACCGGCUAACUACGUGCCAGCAGCCGCGGUAAUAC